rnacentral:rRNA from 1 species
AGCAGCCGCGGUAAUUCCAGCUCCAAUAGCGUAUAUUAAAGUUGUUGCAGUUAAAAAGCUCGUAGUUGAAUUUCGGGAUCAGUUUGUUGGCCGUGCUUCGGUACGUACUGUCAUUACUGGUUUCUACCUUCUGAAGAACCUUGAUGUCAUUAAUUUGGUGUCUUGGGGAAUCAGGACUGUUACUUUGAAAAAUUAGAGUGUUUAAAGCAGGCUCGCGCUUGAAUACAUUAGCAUGGAAUAAUGAAAUAGGACGUUUGAUUCUAUUUUGUUGGUUUCUAGGAUCGACGUAAUGAUUAAUAGGGAUAGUUGGGGGCAUUAGUAUUCAAUUGUCAGAGGUGAAAUUCUUGGAUUUAUUGAAGACUAACUACUGCGAAAGCAUUUGCCAAGGAUGUUCUCAUUAAUCAAGAACGAAAGUUAGGGGAUCGAAGACGAUCAGAUACCGUCGUAGUCUUAACCAUAAACUAUGCCGACUAGGGAUCGGAUGAUGUUAAUUUUUAAUGACUCAUUCGGCGCCUUAAC